UACGAAGGGUGCAAGCGUUAAUCGGAAUUACUGGGCGUACAGCGCGCGUAGGUGGUUCAGUAAGUUGGAAGUGAAAUCCCCGGGCUCAACCUGGGAACUGCUUUCAAAACUGCUGAGCUAGAGUACGGUAGAGGGUGGUGGAAUUUCCUGUGUAGCGGUGAAAUGCGUAGAUAUAGGAAGGAACACCAGUGGCGAAGGCGACCACCUGGACUGAUACUGACACUGAGGUGCGAAAGCGUGGGGAGCAAACAGG
rnacentral:rRNA from 1 species